CUGCUGUGCCACAACCCCCUGUACCGUCUGCGCUACCUCCACCACUUUCAGGGCCACCCCUUCUUCCGCGGGGUGGCUUUCGACGCUGACCUGCUGCAGAAGGACCCGGUGGUGGUGGCAGUGGCCCCGCGACCCCCCGAGCAGCCUCCACCCGACCCCGCCACUUUCGCCGACUUUGACUACGAACUCGCCGCCUCCCCGGACCGGCCCUGGCCUGGCUGAGCCACCACGGCUGGGACCCUCGGCAUCGCUCAGGGACAUCCCCCUACCCCGGCAGCGGGUCGGACCCUGCUGGGCCGGGUCCCCCAAGGGGUUACCCGGGUACCCCCCGAUCUCAUCCAUGGGUACCUCAACUCUGUACCUCUCCCCGCGGGAGCAAUAAACCCGAGAGCCGCUGGCACUGGUGCCCUGACUCGUGCUGGGGAAAGCGGGACCACCGGAGCGGAGGCGCGGGGCUGGACCCCCUCCCUCGGGGCGGGUUUGGGGCAGGUCUGGGGGGACGUGUGGGAUGGUUUCCCCCGGGGGCAGGCGAUGAGGGAGGAGCUGAAUCCCCCUGCCCGUCCGUCCGUCUGUCCGUCCGUCCGUCUGCCCUUCCGCCCGUUCCCCCGGCGCGGCGCGGCAGGGGCGUGGCCAAGGGGCGUGGCCACGCCCACUCAGCCGCCCAGCACCGCCCGUGGCCCCGCCCCCAACGGACUCUCGCGGGGUGACGCGCGCGGCUCAGCCAGUCAGAGCCGCGAGUGCUUUUCAAACCAGCGGCGCGCGGACGGCGGCGGGCCCGCACCCGCAGCCGGGACCCAGACCGAGACCCGGCACCAACCGGGAACCAGGACCCCCAGACCGAGAUACGGGCACCAGCCGGGAACCAGGACCCCCAGACCGAGACCCGGCACCAACCGGGAACCAGGACCGAGCCAGACUCCGGCCUGGUGGGUCGGGACCGAGACGGAGAGCUACCGCAGCUGUAGUCGAGCCCGGGAACACUACCAGGCCAUGCAGCGCGCCAAGACUCCUGUCGCGCAGAAGCGGCCCCGGCGCACCCCGCUGCAGCAGCUGCAGCUGGGCACCGACCGGACUGGCCUGACACCCCUGUUCCGCCGGCUGCGGCUCAAGCUGUGUGACUUAAAGCAGAGCCAGCAGCUGCGGCCUGGCAUGGGGCUGGCCAAGCAGAGGGACACAUUCACACAGACUGACACCA
rnacentral:lncRNA from 1 species